UGGCGACCGGCGCACGGGUGAGUAACACGUAUCCAACCUGCCGAUGACUCGGGGAUAGCCUUUCGAAAGAAAGAUUAAUACCCGAUGGCAUAGUUCUUCCGCAUGGUAGAACUAUUAAAGAAUUUCGGUCAUCGAUGGGGAUGCGUUCCAUUAGCUUGUUGGCGGGGUAACGGCCCACCAAGGCAUCGAUGGAUAGGGGUUCUGAGAGGAAGGUCCCCCACAUUGGAACUGAGACACGGACCAGACUCCUACGGGAGGCAGCAG
rnacentral:rRNA from 1 species